GUCUACGGCCACACCACCCUGAACGCGCCCGAUCCCGUCUGACCUCGGAAGCUGAGCAGGGUCGGGCCUGGUUAGUACUUGGAUGGGAGACCCCUAAGGGUGUCACUAUGCUUUCCACG
ensembl:rRNA 5S_rRNA 5S ribosomal RNA